CAGUCGCCGCGGUAAUACGAAGGGUGCAAGCGUUAAUCGGAAUUACUGGGCGUAAAGCGCGCGUAGGUGGUUUGUUAAGUUGGAUGUGAAAUCCCCGGGCUCAACCUGGGAACUGCAUUCAAAACUGACUGACUAGAGUAUGGUAGAGGGUGGUGGAAUUUCCUGGGUAGCGGUGAAAUGCGUAGAUAUAGGAAGGAACACCAUUGGCGAAGGCGACUACCUGGACUGAUACUGACACUGAGGUGCGAAAGCGUGGGGAGCAAACAGGAUUAGAUACCCCCGUAGUCCCUGUCUCUUAUAC
rnacentral:rRNA from 1 species